rnacentral:lncRNA from 1 species
AAUUUUGCAGAGUUUUAGGUUUAUCUUCCUCAUUUCUUUCUUUCUGCAUAUUUCCUUUUUUUUGCCACUGGGCAUUGAGUUUCAGACUAGUAAGGCUUCAUUGCAUUUCCAUCUCCAUUUUAGAUUUCAAUUUUACUUUUUAUUCUGUAAAGCUGUGAACUCUUUAGAAUAUUUAUUUAUUUUCUGAAGUUUCCAUUCCUUUAUACAGCUUCAAGAGCCAUAAAUCAAGAGACUUCAGUCUUGUCUCACACUGCUUUUUGUCAUGUCUCUUCUUCCACGACUGUCCAGUGAGUAUCCCAGCAUUCCUUGACUCGAUCACACUUCUCACCUUUUGUACCAACUCCAAGUUUUCUCCAUGGUGUUGUGGUCUAGCACAGCUUUGGCCAUGACGUUCCUCCACAGCUGUGAGCAGUUCACUGGAGCAGUUGUGAGCUGGACCCUGGAUGUUCCUGUGUGUUAAUGCAGCUUCAGCCUCCCUCAGUUUCUCUGACCUUGGCUUGUACAGCUUUGGUGCAAGCAAACCUCAUCCUGAGACACCUACAGUGGAGAAAAAGAAAAUGGACGCUGCUGUAGUGGACAAAGAACAGGAAAGAGGGGGCUCUUUUGUGAAUACCAGCACAAGUUUUCAGACUCUCUCUGCCCUGUUUCUCUUGGAAGUAUCACCCAGAGCUGAAGCUCCAGGGGAAGGACCCAGGGACAUCUCUGCAGAUUGCACAGCCUGACUUGUGCUUGGUGCUCUUUGUCAUACAGGGAUGCCAGAGCAUCAUGGAUAAUUCUGCAGCUUACAGUCAUUUAAACAACUGGAAAUUGCUCAAUAUAUC